GAUGAACGCUGGCGGCGUGCCUAAUACAUGCAAGUCGAGCGAACAGAUGAGGAGCUUGCUCCUCUGACGUUAGCGGCGGACGGGUGAGUAACACGUGGAUAACCUACCUAUAAGACUGGGAUAACUUCGGGAAACCGGAGCUAAUACCGGAUAAUAUAUUGAACCGCAUGGUUCAAUAGUGAAAGACGGUCUUGCUGUCACUUAUAGAUGGAUCCGCGCCGCAUUAGCUAGUUGGUAAGGUAACGGCUUACCAAGGCAACGAUGCGUAGCCGACCUGAGAGGGUGAUCGGCCACACUGGAACUGAGACACGGUCCAGACUCCUACGGGAGGCAGCAGUAGGGAAUCUUCCGCAAUGGGCGAAAGCCUGACGGAGCAACGCCGCGUGAGUGAUGAAGGUCUUCGGAUCGUAAAACUCUGUUAUUAGGGAAGAACAUAUGUGUAAGUAACUGUGCACGUCUUGACGGUACCUAAUCAGAAAGCCACGGCUAACUACGUG
rnacentral:rRNA from 1 species